UACAGAGGGUGCGAGCGUUAAUCGGAAUUACUGGGCGUAAAGCGCACGUAGUCGGCUUUGCAAGUCGGGUGUGAAAUCCCCGGGCUCAACCUGGGAACUGCAUCCGAGACUGCAUUGCUAGAGUAUGGGAGAGGGAAGCGGAAUUUCUGGUGUAGCAGUGAAAUGCGUAGAUAUCAGGAGGAACACCGGUGGCGAAGGCGGAUCUCUGGGCCAUUACUGACGCUGAGGAGCGAAAGCGUGGGGGAGCGAACAGG
rnacentral:rRNA from 1 species